UUUGCCCCUGUGCCUCUUAAUUCUCCAUCAUGCUAAUUAGGAAUAACACUCGAAGGACUAAAGUCAAGGACAGUCUCUGGAAAGGGAUGUAAAGGGUCCACAGCACGUUUUAAAGCCUGAUCCUGGAGACCGUAGUCACGGGCUAUAUUUCUCUUCCAAGAUCUGGCCAAUACAUCACUUGCUGCAAAAAUGAGUUGUGAUAGUAAACUGCCAGGAGCAGAGGAAAUAUGCCCAUCCUGGGAGACUUUUGAAGACAAUGUAUAAGCUUCUUGAACCAAGGGCACAGACUGCUUGACCAGUGAGCCGUGUGAUAAAGCACAAACAGCGCAGGAAAUGAAAACCCUAGGAGCAGCAGAUGAUGUGGGCAGGAGGCACAGGAAAUGUUUGUGUUUGUUUUCUUGGAAUUGUAUUCCUCCUGGCAGAAUAUCAGAUCAGCUUUUUCCUCUUAACUUGGCAGGAAUACAAGGCUGCAGGUAUGGUACCUUUCCAUGCAGACGUAUGGGUCUGUCAAUGAGACAGAUUUGAACAGGAUCUGUUUU